GACGAACGCUGGCGGCGUGCUUAACACAUGCAAGUCGAACGAAGAGCGACGGAAGCUUGCUUCUAUCAAUCUUAGUGGCGAACGGGUGAGUAACGCGUAAUCAACCUGCCCUUCAGAGGGGGACAACAGUUGGAAACGACUGCUAAUACCGCAUACGAUCUAAUCUCGGCAUCGAGGAUGGAUGAAAGGUGGCCUCUACAUGUAAGCUAUCACUGAAGGCGGGGAUUGCGUCUGAUUAGCUAGUUGGAGGGGUAACGGCCCACCAAGGCGAUGAUCAGUAGCAGGUCUGAGAGGAUGAACGGCCACAUUGGGACUGAGACACGGCCCAGACUCCUACGGGAGGCAGCAGUGGGGAAUCUUCCGCAAUGGACGAAAGUCGGACGGAGCAACGCCGCGGGAGUGAUGACGGCCUUCGGGUUGUAAAGCUCUGUUAAUCGGGACGAAAGGCCUUCUUGCGAAUAGUGAGAAGGAUUGACGGUACCGGAAUAGAAAGCCACGGCUAACUACGUG
rnacentral:rRNA from 1 species